GUUAGUUAGGUGAGAAGGGGUGGGGACAUUAAUCCAAGUUGAGAAAAGCUGCAUUUGGAGAAACUAGGCAGGAUAGGAGCUCGACAUCAGCAGGUCUGACUGACUGGAACAGAAUAGUGAAGAGUUUGUGUUUGGAGAUUGCCAAGAAAAGGACACUAUUAUUCAGUUUCUAUUGGGCCAUGUCCAGGGACAAUAACGGACCAUGAAGAGAAAGAAGUCGCCUGCUUCCCCUUCCACCUUGAUCAUAAGUUUCCUGAAGCCUCCUCAGCCAUGCAGAAGUGUGACUCAUUGUUCCAUUUCCUGAUGUGUUGAAAGUUUAUGGCAGGGCACGGUGGCUCACGCC
rnacentral:lncRNA from 1 species